UUUUACUCCCAUUUACCUCAUUUCAUCUCCCCCACCCCAUUUUACUCCUAAUAUACCCUACAAUCGGUAACUUCUCUCUUCCCCUGCCUGUUCUCGGUCCCGGCGGCUGUCCAUAGCAGGGCGCGCGUCGCUACGAUCGAUGUUACUCUGUGCGUUCUUGGUCGACGAUUUGGAAUAGAGGUUUUCUGCUUGAAGACAUGGUGUGGCUGAAAUCGAACAGAGCUUAUCAGGUUCAGCCAGUUCAGACAACAUAUAACUCCACAUCCUCUGAUUAUCAGAUUCAGGGCUUUGAUUUUUACUAGUUUGUCGAUGCAUAGUGUGAUACAAAGAGACUAUGUGGGUGAUGAUUAUGAAUGUUGAAGAGACUGAAUUCGAAUUGAUCAUUAGGUUUUUUGAAACAAGAGUGUUUUGUUUGAUUGAUGAACUAUUUCUCUAAUGUCAUUGUAAUAUGUGGCAGUUAUGUUGCCCGGGUGAGAAGUUUGCGAAGAGUUAAUGUUGGUUUGAUUUUUCA